GUUUCUGUAGUGUCAGUGGUUAUCACGUUCGCUUUACACGCGAAAGGUCCCUGGUUCGAAACCGGGCAGAAGCA
rnacentral:tRNA from 1 species